GAUGAACGCUAGCUACAGGCUUAACACAUGCAAGUCGAGGGGAAACGACAUCGAAAGCUUGCUUUUGAUGGGCGUCGACAGGCGCACGGGUGAGUAACGCGUAUCCAAACUGCCCACCACUUGGGGAUAACAUUGCGAAAGUAAGACUACUACCCAAUGACGUCUCUAGAAGACAUCUGAAAGAGAUUAAAGAUUUAGAGGAGAUGUAUGGGGAUGCGUCUGAUUACCUUGUUGGCGGGGUAACGGCCCACCAAGGCGACGAUCAGUAGGGGUUCUGAGAGGAAGGUCCCCCACAUUGGAACUGAGACACGGUCCAAACUCCUACGGGAGGCAGCAGUGAGGAAUAUUGGUCAAUGGGCGAGAGCCUGAACCAGCCAAGUAGCGUGCAGGAUGACGGCCCUAUGGGUUGUAAACUGCUUUUAUAAGGGAAUAAAGUGAGUCUCGUGAGACUUUUUGCAUGUUCCUUAUGAAUAAGGACCGGCUAAUUCCGUGCCAGCCGCCGCGGUAAGAC
rnacentral:rRNA from 1 species